AUGAAAAUAAGGGGCCAGAAGAAAUUUUCCUGUAUCAUUAAGGAGAUCAUCUAUGGAAGUGACAGAGAACAUUUUAGAGACUUCAUGCCCAAACUACAAUCUUCAUACCACAUUAAACACACUGACCUUGGAAGCCAAAGCAAUACGUAUUAAUAUUGCUGAAGAUGAGCAGUAUCUGGAAAACUGAGGGUAAAACUAAUCAAGUCAACAAGUGUUUAUUAAAUGCCAACUACCACAUGCUACGUGUUGGAGGGGACACCAAAAGAAAGGCAAAAGUGGUCUACUUUUAUUGAGAUCACAGUCUAAUGAGGGAUACAAUAUACAUACAAAUACGUAUAUACAAG
rnacentral:lncRNA from 1 species